AAAACACCUAAUCCUUGCAUUAACAACUGACAGGAAGCCAUGUGUGGUGGUCCAUGCUGACAAUUGCAGAACUGAGGAGAUUGAGACAGGACAGUCUGAGUUCCAGCCCAGCCUAGGCUACUUAGUUAUUGAGGCCAGUCUGGGGUACAUAAUGACAUCCUGAUUCAAAACGCCUAAGGGCCUGGGGAUGGCUCAGCAAUUGAGGACCUGAGUUUAAUUCCCUGCACCCAUAUGGAAGCUUAUAGCCUCUGUUAACUCCAGUUCCAAGGAUCUAGUCACUCCCUUCUGGCCUCUAGUCACAGCACCCAUAUGGCAUACAUACAUGCAGCCCAAAAACCCUAUGUUCAUAAAGAAAUCUUAAAAGAAAAAAAUGCAAAACCAGAACUGGAGUGAAACAUGUAGUGGUCAUGGAGUGAGCUAGUGUGUGCUGUGGAGGUGGGAGGACUCUAGUGUGUGCUGUGAAGGUGGGAGGACUCUAGUGUGUGCUGUGGAGGUGGGAGGGCUGCGUGAGCUCAGGAGUCUGGGCAGCACAGCCGCAGAGGAAAGCGGACACAAGGCCAGCAGCACAGGCUGCACAGGGAGGCAGGAGAGAUGCACAGGGGGACGUAAGAUCAAAUGUCUUGUUUAUUAAAAUCAAGUUCAUUGAACAUCUGUCUGAGGUCAGACCCUCUGAUUAUUGCAGUGUGUUGGACUCAUGCUUAGCCAGAUUGUGUGGUGCAAUUGAUUGGGAAAUAUUUCCUCCAGUUCCAUCUUCUUUCAGUGCUCAGCUGUGAACAGCUACCCUUGAUCGUGAUGCCGCAGAAACAACAAGAGAGACCUUGUCUCAGUGACGUGGAAGAAGAAUCAGUCCCCAGAAGUUGUAUCCUGACCUUCUUUUGCCAUAGCAUGUGUGAGCCUGUACUCACCCCUUCCCUUAAUAAUAAUAAAACAACA
rnacentral:lncRNA from 1 species